rnacentral:rRNA from 1 species
AGAGUUUGAUCCUGGCUCAGGAUGAACGCUAGCGACAGGCUUAACACAUGCAAGUCGAGGGGCAGCACAGGUAGCAAUACCGGGUGGCGACCGGCGCACGGGUGAGUAACGCGUAUGCAACUUGCCUAUCAGAGGGGGAUAACCCGGCGAAAGUCGGACUAAUACCGCAUGAAGCAGGGGCCCCGCAUGGGGAUAUUUGCUAAAGAUUCAUCGCUGAUAGAUAGGCAUGCGUUCCAUUAGGCAGUUGGCGGGGUAACGGCCCACCAAACCGACGAUGGAUAGGGGUUCUGAGAGGAAGGUCCCCCACAUUGGUACUGAGACACGGACCAAACUCCUACGGGAGGCAGCAGUGAGGAAUAUUGGUCAAUGGGCGUAAGCCUGAACCAGCCAAGUCGCGUGAGGGAUGAAGGUUCUAUGGAUCGUAAACCUCUUUUAUAAGGGAAUAAAGUGCGGGACGUGUCCCGUUUUGUAUGUACCUUAUGAAUAAGGAUCGGCUAACUCCGUGCCAGCAGCCGCGGUAAUACGGAGGAUCCGAGCGUUAUCCGGAUUUAUUGGGUUUAAAGGGUGCGUAGGCGGCCUUUUAAGUCAGCGGUGAAAGUCUGUGGCUCAACCAUAGAAUUGCCGUUGAAACUGGGGGGCUUGAGUAUGUUUGAGGCAGGCGGAAUGCGUGGUGUAGCGGUGAAAUGCAUAGAUAUCACGCAGAACCCCGAUUGCGAAGGCAGCCUGCCAAGCCAUUACUGACGCUGAUGCACGAAAGCGUGGGGAUCAAACAGGAUUAGAUACCCUGGUAGUCCACGCAGUAAACGAUGAUCACUAGCUGUUUGCGAUACACUGUAAGCGGCACAGCGAAAGCGUUAAGUGAUCCACCUGGGGAGUACGCCGGCAACGGUGAAACUCAAAGGAAUUGACGGGGGCCCGCACAAGCGGAGGAACAUGUGGUUUAAUUCGAUGAUACGCGAGGAACCUUACCCGGGUUUGAACGCAUUUUGACAGCUCUGGAAACAGAGCCUCUAGCAAUAGCGAUUUGCGAGGUGCUGCAUGGUUGUCGUCAGCUCGUGCCGUGAGGUGUCGGCUUAAGUGCCAUAACGAGCGCAACCCUUGCCACUAGUUACUAACAGGUAAAGCUGAGGACUCUGGUGGGACUGCCAGCGUAAGCUGCGAGGAAGGCGGGGAUGACGUCAAAUCAGCACGGCCCUUACAUCCGGGGCGACACACGUGUUACAAUGGCGUGGACAAAGGGAAGCCACCUGGCGACAGGGAGCGAAUCCCCAAACCACGUCUCAGUUCGGAUCGGAGUCUGCAACCCGACUCCGUGAAGCUGGAUUCGCUAGUAAUCGCGCAUCAGCCAUGGCGCGGUGAAUACGUUCCCGGGCCUUGUACACACCGCCCGUCAAGCCAUGGGAGCCGGGGGUACCUGAAGUCCGUAACCGCGA